rnacentral:rRNA from 1 species
UUUUUCAAAAACAUCGCUCUUUGUUAUUGUUAUAUAAGGAGUCGUGCCUGCCCAGUGAAAAUUAAACGGCCGCAGUACCCUGACUGUGCUAAGGUAGCAUAAUCAUUUGCCUUUUAAUUGGAGGCUAGAAUGAAUGGCUUGACGAGAAUUUAUCUGUCUCUGAGACAUUAACUAAAAAUUAUAUUUUAGGUGAAGAUGCCUAAAUGAAAUCGAAAGACGAAAAGACCCUAUCGAGCUUUAAAGUUAGGUAAAAUUAUUUUGAUUGUAGAAAAAUUUUAUUUUAUUAAUGCUUUUUUGUUGGGGUGACAGAAGAACCAUUAAAGCUUCUUUUUAUUUGUUUAACUUUAUUAGUUAUAGCGAUCUAUGAUAAUAGUAAAAGAAAAGCUACCGUAGGGAUAACAGCGUUAUUUUUUUGGAAAGUUCUUAUUGAAGGAAAAGAUUGCGACCUCGAUGUUGGAUUAGAAUACCGGACAGGUGAAGAGGCUUGUUAAGGGGGUCUGUUCGACCUUUAAAUUUCUACAUGAUCUGAGU